CACGUAGGAGGCGAGCGUUGUCCGGAAUCAUUGGGCGUAAAGAGCGCGCAGGCGGCUUGGCAAGUCGGAUGUGAAAUCCCGGGGCUCAACCCCGGGACUGCAUUCGAUACUGUCAGGCUAGAGGUAGGUAGGGGAGAUCGGAAUUCCUGGUGUAGCGGUGAAAUGACGCAGAUAUCAGGAGGAACACCGGUGGCGAAGGCGGAUCUCUGGGCCUUACCUGACGCUCAGGCGCGAAAGCUAGGGGAGCGAACAGG
rnacentral:rRNA from 1 species